UGGAAUAUAGCUCAGUGGUAGAGCACUUAUCUAGCAUGUAUUGGUCGUUGGGUUUGAUUCCCAGCACUGCAA
rnacentral:tRNA from 1 species